rnacentral:rRNA from 1 species
UGGGGAAUAUUGCACAAUGGGCGCAAGCCUGAUGCAGCCAUGCCGCGUGUGUGAAGAAGGCCUUCGGGUUGUAAAGCACUUUCAGCGAGGAGGAAGGUGGUGAACUUAAUACGUUCAUCAAUUGACGUUACUCGCAGAAGAAGCACCGGCUAACUCCGUGCCAGCAGCCGCGGUAAUACGGAGGGUGCAAGCGUUAAUCGGAAUUACUGGGCGUAAAGCGCACGCAGGCGGUUUGUUAAGUCAGAUGUGAAAUCCCCGGGCUCAACCUGGGAACUGCAUUUGAAACUGGCAAGCUAGAGUCUCGUAGAGGGGGGUAGAAUUCCAGGUGUAGCGGUGAAAUGCGUAGAGAUCUGGAGGAAUACCGGUGGCGAAGGCGGCCCCCCUGGACGAAGACUGACGCUCAGGUGCGAAAGCGUGGGGAGCAAACAGAUUAGAUACCCUGGUAGUCCACGCUGUAAACGAUGUCGAUUUUGGAGGUUGUGCCCCUUGAGGCGUGG